ensembl:ncRNA lncRNA:CR45702 long non-coding RNA:CR45702
UGGCACGGUGCCAAUAUUAAAUCUAAAUUUAACACAAGCUGAUUAGAAUCACGCCUCAAAACCGUAUAUUUUAUGACCGCAUCCUGCUCCCAUCUUGGAGCAAAAGCUCAUAAAUUAGAAAAAACUGCGUUGACAUGGCACUCGAGCGGAAUGGAAAUGGAAAAGAAUUUGGCAUCAGCAAAUAUUUGCAGCACGUUUUCGUUUACAUAUCAACUUGACAACUUUCGCAUUACGAUUAAGAUGUACAGCCGGAGAGUAGGACGUAUCCGGAAUAUACGGAGCACAACGUUAUCAACACCUUCGGGUCGCACACAAGAUGGGGGCGUGGCAGGGCUGGCGGAGGCAGACGACGGGACAGCAGCCAAGUCCAAGUCAUGGGCGAGAUUUAUGUGUUUUGCUCGACUGUGCGACAAUAAAACAAAACAAAACGAAACAAAACAAACCCGGAACACAAGUUGCGAUUAGUGAUGGCAGCGCAUAGUUAUGAUCCAAGGGAAAGGACCUGUGAUUCCCGAUUUCGUACGCUCCAUUCGGACAUAAAUAUUAGAACUGGCAUUUCAGCGCACGUUGAACGCGGCGAGCAUCGCAUCGAAUGCCAAAUAUUUUGACGUAUUUCACUGGGUGCCGCCAAGGAGCUCCCUCAAUCCCCUGUCCACCAGACCCAAACAAUGGCCAUUAUGGUCGCAAAUGGUGGAAUAACAAGGUGGUCCAUGCU